rnacentral:rRNA from 1 species
AUUACUCCUACGGGAGGCAGCAGUAGGGAAUCUUCCGCAAUGGACGAAAGUCUGACGGAGCAACGCCGCGUGAGUGAUGAAGGUUUUCGGAUCGUAAAACUCUGUUGUUAGGGAAGAACAAGUACCGUUCGAAUAGGGCGGUGCCUUGACGGUACCUAACCAGAAAGCCACGGCUAACUACGUGCCAGCAGCCGCGGUAAUAA